UACGUAGGGGGCAAGCGUUGUCCGGAAUCAUUGGGCGUAAAGAGCGUGUAGGCGGCCCGGUAAGUCCGCUGUGAAAGUCGGGGGCUCAACCCUCGAAUGCCGGUGGAUACUGUCGGGCUAGAGUGCGGAAGAGGCGAGUGGAAUUCCUGGUGUAGCGGUGAAAUGCGCAGAUAUCAGGAGGAACACCAAUUGCGAAGGCAGCUCGCUGGGACGUAACUGACGCUGAGACGCGAAAGCGUGGGGAGGCAAACAGG
rnacentral:rRNA from 1 species